CCCUAGACAGAGUUGCUGGCAGGCAGCAGCAGCAGCAGCAGUUCGGCCAGCAGUGUCCGUCUGGCAUAGUCACUGAAGUGCUUCCUCAGCCAGGCCAACAGGCCUGUGGUGUGAGUGUAAGCCUCUCCUUGAAAAGCACUGUGAACUCAGCCUCUAAAUCUUCUGAGACUCCAGGAUCUGCCUGAGACGCCUGGGCUGAAGGCACUGUGAAAGGACCAGGGGAUCACCAAACACUUCCUAUUGCCAUGCUGAAGGCCUGGGUUCAAGUCCUGCCUUUCCACUUGGCUACAGCCUUCAGUUCUGGCUACCCAUCAGAAAAAAAAAACCAUGCAAACGUAGAAUGGCCCUGGAAACAGAGUCCUGAGGAAAUGAUGGCACUGAUGCAAUGGCAGGAAUAACGAGGAUUGUUCUGUACAACUGAACACUGCAAACAAAAGGUCCCUGAGAAGUUUUUCAGAAGUCAUCCAAAAUUUAAGAGGCAUUAGAGCUGACACAAACAUCAGGUUUGCGAAGACAGCUGAAAACCCUUUGCACAAAGGUAGGAGUUCAAUGAAGCUCAACAACAGGGCUG
rnacentral:lncRNA from 1 species